ensembl:lncRNA
GGAGGCCAAGGUCUAUGGUGGGUAGGUGGUGGAAUGUGGUUGUAAAAUAGCAAGCUACCGGGGGACUUGACAGGGUAGGGUGCUGGUCCCAGGGGCCUGCUGGAGGUCAAGAUGGUGGAGGGCGAAUGUGUGUGCCAGGACAAGCUACUGAGGGAGUGGACCAGGUUACGAUGCGAGUACCCGGGGCAUGCUGGAGGUACGCUGGAUUCUUCUGAUACUCACUUAAAUGUGUCCCUGGUGUCCAGCAGGCUGAAGAUCGACAUCUGGAGUUUCUCUCUGAAGCCUGACUUCCUCCUUGUGCUUCUGUGGCUUAUGCGGCCAUAAAUUCGUCACCAUGGCGACCAGCUGGAUUAUUGAAAGUCCCCCGUCUGACUUUCUGAGUGUUCACUGUGGCUCUGCUCUGCAGCUGGUCUCCUUUUCCACUUUGCAGUCACUUGAUGUUGAAGAGGUGAGUGUGUUAGAGGAAAUGUUAAUGUCAGGUUUAAUUUGUAUCCACUCAGAGGUCAUUUGUACCUCCUGCUGCUGCUGCUGCUGUGGUUGUAAUAAUGUAAACCCUGAUUGGUUGGAUAGUUUGAGUGACAGCUUUACUGAGGCAAAGCAGAACAGCUGCUGAUCCUGAGCUACUCUUACAAAUGGAAGUUCAGUGAAGAUCAUAUCCUCUAUUGGACCUGACUGAACAGCCAGAGCCUGAUAUUCUCUACAGUCAUGGCCAGAAGAAGCUCCAGUGUCAGAAAUGAAUCACAAAGCUCAAGUUUAUCUAUAUUUACAUGGUAAUAAAAAGUCUGUAAAGUGGUUAUCAGUGUUGGGGUCCUUAAUGCUGACUGAAAAUAGUUUCUGACCUCUUAAUGAAAAGUGCCUUUAAAACUUUUUUUUUUUUAAAUAAACAGAAAAUAUGCUUUUAAAAAUAUGACACGGAGGGUUUUAUGGAAAUAAAGUAGGUGUAUUAUUUAGCUGUAUCUGAAAAUCCUUAUCAGGUGAUUAAUUGAAUUCACCCUGUUUUGUGAACGUGUAGAUUUUCACCCUUUUUUUUUUAUUUAAAGCCAAUAAAUGUCUCGCCUUUUAAUUUGACUUUGUCUCUGUGUCCUGCAUUUGGUUGCGCUGUCAAGAAAGUGUUGGUCAUUUUACAACAUGAGCAUUAUUUUGUCUUUCCUGAAGGAAUAUUCAGGAAAUGAGGAUUAAAACGAGCGUGUCUGUUCAUUUCCUUUUGAUUCAUGAACAGCCUGGAUCAGGUCCAGUGUGUAACAGCUUCAGUGUUUCCUGAACCGUUUGCCUCCAAUAACCUUUGUCUUUGCUGGGCUACACUGGGAAACUCUCCACACUGACAUUCAAAGGGAAAAAGAAUCAUUCUUGUGUGUGUUGCCUAAUUUCUACAGUUUAGACAAUUUAAUCAGUUUGUCAGCAAAUAAAACCUCUUACAUCCAUCAGAGAUGCUGGCUGUAACCUCAUGUUUGAGAUCGUUUCUCCUCCUGAUUAAUAGCUGUUAAAUUACUGCCUGUUUGUAUCUUGAGUGAGGACCUCUCCCUGUCUAACAGCAACACAUCACUGGCCAAGGAGGCUCAAACUCUACUUCCUCGGAAAUUGACGACAGUAUAAGUCCCACCUGCCGUCAUGCGUUCCUUCUACUGCGCAUUUUUGUUUAUAUAUGAAUGAGAUUUACAGCUUUAGCAAGGACAAGCUUACCAAGAAAACAUACUGAAAAUGGCAAACUUCACAUGUGCCUGUCCAUGUUUGAUUCUUUAAAAUGUUUUCUCAUUAAGUCUAAAUGUUUCAGAACAG